UGAACGCUAGCUACAGGCUUAACACAUGCGAAGUCGAGGGGCAGCAUGGUCUUAGCUUGCUAAGGCCGAUGGCGACCGGCGCACGGGUGAGUAACACGUAUCCAACCUGCCGUCUACUCUUGGACAGCCCUUCUGAAAAGGGAAGAUUUAAAUACAAGAUGGCAUCAUGAGUCCGCAUGUUCACAUGAUUAAAGGUAUUCCGGUAGACGAUGGGGAUGCGUUCCAUUAGAUAGUAGGCGGGGUAACGGCCCACCUAGUCUUCGAUGGAUAGGGGUUCUGAGAGGAAGGUCCCCCACAUUGGAACUGAGACACGGUCCAAACUCCUACGGGAGGCAGCAGUGAGGAAUAUUGGUCAAUGGGCGAGAGCCUGAACCAGCCAAGUAGCGUGAAGGAUGACUGCCCUAUGGGUUGUAAACUUCUUUUAUAAAGGAAUAAAGUCGGGUAUGGAUACCCGUUUGCAUGUACUUUAUGAAUAAGGAUCGGCUAACUCCGUG
rnacentral:rRNA from 1 species